UGGGGGAUAUUGCACAAUGGGCGCAAGCCUGAUGCAGCGACGCCGCGUGGGGGAUGAAGGCCUUCGGGUUGUAAACUUCUUUUGCUCUGAACAAGGCGCACUUUGGGGUGUGUUGAGUGUAGGGGUUGAUUAGCGCCGGCUAACUACGUGCCAGCAGCCGCGGUAAUACGUAGGGCGCGAGCGUUGUCCGGAAUUAUUGGGCGUAAAGGGCUUGUAGGCGGCUUGUUGCGCCUGCUGUGAAAACGCGGGGCUUAACUUCGCGCGUGCAGUGGGUACGGGCAGGCUUGAGUGUGGUAGGGGUGACUGGAAUUCCAGGUGUAGCGGUGGAAUGCGCAGAUAUCUGGAGGAACACCGAUGGCGAAGGCAGGUCACUGGGCCAUUACUGACGCUGAGGAGCGAAAGCAUGGGUAGCGAACAGG
rnacentral:rRNA from 1 species